UGGUCGAUGCCCGAGCGGUUAAUGGGGACGAACUGUAAAUUCGUUGGCAAUAUGUUGUUGGUUCAAAUUCAGCUCGGCCUA
rfam:Lupinus angustifolius cultivar Tanjil chromosome LG04, whole genome shotgun sequence.